UUCAUGAAUCAAACCAUUUAUUUUAUAACUAUAACGUGGCUUUUCUGUGAUUAUGAUUAAUCAUUAUUAUGUCUACGCUUUAACUAAUUGCGUGUUCGCUGGCAAGGCAAUUGAGAAAGAAAAUGAAUGAGAAAGAGAAAAAAAAAAAAGAAAAAAGAGUAGGAAUCAACAAAAAUGCACUGUGACUGAAAAACAAAACCAAACAAACCUCAAAAGUUAGGGUUUCCUUUUUUGUUCGUUGCCGUGGAAUCGAUACUUUUGCCUUAUAUUAUUAAACGUACGUCAUUGUGAAGUAGAAGCAAGGCUCGCGGCAUUGCUCUGCGAGUUUUGACUUUUAAGCGUGGUUUGCUUUUCAAUUCAGCAUUUUGUCGCUUCUUCUAUUAAUUCUACCAAGCUUCGCUGAUUGAUCCAUCUUCGUCGACGAAUUGUGCAUUCCUGUGCUGUGCUGGUGAUGGGUAUGGUUUGGAUUUCAAAUGUCUUUCUUCUCGGGUAAUGAGAUGCAUCAAGUUUUGAAGUACAGUGAGCAGGGAUGGACAUUGCUGCUCUUUUAACUUCUGCUGGAAUUAAUAUUGCUGUGUGUGUGGUGCUCUUUUCAUUUUAUUCUGUAUUAAGAAAACAACCCAGCAAUGUUAAUGUGUACUUUGGAAGGAGACUAGCCUCUCAGCAUUCAAGACGCAUUGAUCUCUGCUUGGAAAGAUUUGUUCCCUCCCCUAGCUGGAUAUUGAAAGCAUGGGAAACAUCUGAGGAUGAGAUACUGGCCAUUGGUGGCUUGGAUGCUGUGGUUUUCGUGAGGAUACUUGUGUUCAGUAUUCAAGUGUUUUCCAUUGCUGCUGCCAUAUGCACUGUUAUGGUGCUUCCUGUAAAUUACAAUGGUAUGGGCGGAAUGCGUAAGAAUAUACCUUUCGAGUCGCUGGAAGUAUUUACCAUUGAGAAUGUCAAAGAAGGAUCAAAGUGGCUUUGGGUUCAUUGUCUUGCACUAUACAUCAUAACAUUAUCAGCUUGUGCUCUUCUUUACUUUGAAUAUAAGAGUAUUACUAAUUUGAGGCUACUACAUAUUAUUGGAUCACCUCCAAAUCCAAGUCAUUUUACAAUUCUUGUCCGAUCAAUUCCCUGGUCUUCAGAAGAAUCAUACUGUGAAACCGUGAAAAAAUUCUUCUCAUAUUACCAUGCAUCAACAUAUUUGUCACACCAAAUGAUUUAUAAGUCUGGUAAAGUUCAAAAACUGAAGGAUGAUGCUGAACAUAUAUGUAAGGUAAUUAGAGAUGCUUCAUUGGAAAAGACUUGUAAGCCUAGUUUUACGAAAUGUUGCUGUUAUGGAGCACCAACAUUUUCUUUUAAGAAGAUUUCUACUGAAACGGGUAGUACACAUGGGAGAACAUGCAACAAUGACUUGCAUUUAGAUACAGGAAAAAAGGAAUGUCCCGCUGCUUUUGUGUUCUUUAAAAGUCGGUAUGCUGCUCUUACGGCUGCACAGGUACUGCAGACAUCAAACCCUAUGUUAUGGGUGACAGACGUAGCUCCUGAACCACAUGAUGUAUAUUGGUCCAAUAUUUGCAUACCAUAUAGGCAACUUUGGAUCCGUAAGAUAGCUACCCUUGUGGCCUCGGUUGCCUUCAUGCUUGUGUUCCUUAUCCCUGUUACAUUUGUACAAGGCUUGACUCAACUAGACAAACUUCAGAAAAUGUUCCCUUUUCUGACAGGGAUACUUAAAGAGAAAUUUGUGAAUCAGGUGGUGACUGGUUACCUGCCAAGUGUGAUAUUGGUUUUAUUUUUGUGCGCAGUUCCACCUGUGAUGAUUCUAUUGUCUUCUGUGGAGGGUUCUAUUUCCCGUAGUGAAAGGAAGAAGAGUGCAUGUUUUAAAGUCUUGUACUUCACAAUCUGGAACGUGUUUUUUGUUAAUGUAUUUACUGGUUCUGUAAUCAGCCAGCUCUUAGUCUUUUCUAGUGUAACAGAUCUGCCUGCCCAGCUUGCCAAGGCAGUGCCACUGCAGGCUACUUUCUUCACAACUUACAUUUUAUCAUCUGGUUGGGCAAGUUUGGCAGUUGAAGUUAUGCAAAUUUUCCCUCUACUAUGCAAUCUUUUCCAGAGAUUCAUACUCAGGCUUAAGGAAGAUGCACUUGAUGGCAGCCUAUCUUUUCCGUACCAUACAGAAGUUCCAAGAAUCUUACUGUUUGGAUUCCUUGGGUUCACUUGUGCUAUUCUGGCACCCUUAAUGUUGCCCUUCUUGUUGAUCUACUUUUUCAUUGCUUACCUUGUUUAUCGAAACCAGGUUAGUAAAUCUAUCAGAUUAUCAAUGUAUACAUUACAAAAUACGAUAGUGGGGGACAGUACUGGCCCAUUGUUCACAACACAACGGUCUUUUCAUUGCUAUUUUCUCAACUUAUAGCGCUAGGGGUGUUUGGACUCAAACGCUCAUCAGUUACAUCUGGAUUCACCAUUCCUCUGCUGAUUGGUACACUUCUAUUUCACCAGUAUUGUAGGCAACGGUUUCUCCCAGUAUUUAGGAACAAUUCAGCACAGAUUCUUAUUGACUUGGAUCGGAGAGAUGAGCACUGCGGAAGGGUGGAAGAAAUUUAUGAACAUUUGUGUUCAGCCUACAACCAGUCCAGUUUAAUGCCACAUUCCACAAGCCAAGCCAAAUGUGUCAGUCUUCAUGAGGACAAGGAUAGCAGUCCAUCUUCAUCAGAAGAUAUGGAGAAAGGCAAUGAAAAGGAAAUUAAUCAAAAAGAUAGACCACGGCCUGUCCAACGCUCAUUGAGUUUGAGUUCAGAUAAAUCGGUACUUGGUGUAAAGCAAUGAGUACUCAGAAUUGUACAUUGUAUAAGAAUAAGAAUAUCAUGGUGUGCCGAUGCAUGAACAGUUAAUCAAUUAUAGAUGAAGAUGAAAGUCUCUUGAUAUAUUGUUCAUAAAUUUUUUUAGUUGUAAUUAUUUUUUAAAAUGAUUUUCAAUUAGUUGUAAUUGUCCUUUUGGCUGUGAUGUGGUUGGAUCUAUCCAUCAUAUUCUGUCUGUAUGCCCGAAAAUUUUAUGCAUUUGGUGGCAGUGGUAUUCUCUCUUUGGUAUCUGUACAGUUUUUCCAUCCUCCGUGGAAACUCACUUCUGGCAACAUUGCCUUGCGUAUUGAGUCAAAUAAUAUUAGAAAUCUGGAAGAUUAUCUGGUGUGUCAUAGUUUGGAGUAUAUAAUGUCAUAGGAAUGAUUGGGUAUUUAAUUGCUUUAGCUUUGAUGGAGAUAAAUUGCUAGAGGAAACCAAGUUUCUGGCGUGGUCCUGGCUCAACUCUGAAGGUUAGGAACAGAGGGCUUUUCUCACUCUUUCUCUCAGUGGCAAUCAAAUACUGUUGCAUGUACUGUGGAUGUUCAUCUUCAACUACUGAUAUCUCGUGUUUAAUAUUGGCUGCGACAGAGGUGUGGAGUUUUCAGCUUUAUGGUAGAAGGGGAUUUGUUGCAAGUUAAGGAUAUAAUCUGGAGAGAUUUUCUUAAGCUUUUGUGGAGGGAUGUGGGGUUAUCAAACUUGAUUUGUGUACUCAGUUGUAGUCUUAUUUGGCUUUGGUCUGGCCGCAGGAUACGUGCAUGUCGGGGAUAGGGGGUAUAGCAGUCAAUCCAUUUUGUAGUGUAGGAUUGGAACUCUUUGCUUUUCUGUAGUUUAUGUGUACAUGUGUAUGCCUUUUGUGUCUUGAAUCUUCUUAUAUGCAACUUGUGUGCAUAUCUUAAGAUUCAAGAUCUUAUGUCGGUUGUUUUGUUGGGAUAGGGCAUCUCAGACAGGGUACUGUGAUAGCUAAUUGUUAUUACUUAAUGGCCUUCUUGUGUUCUAAUAUUAUAAGUAUACAUAUUUCUUUGCCGA